rnacentral:rRNA from 1 species
CUGCUAUCGGAUUGAUACUAAGCCAUGCGAGUCUUGCAGUAAUGCAAGGCAUACGGCUCAGUAACACGUAGUCAACCUACCCUAUGGACGAGAAUAAUCUCGGGAAACUGAGCAUAAUUCUUGAUAGAUCAUAAUGCCUGGAAUGGUUUAUGGUUAAAAUGAUUCGUCGCCAUAGGAUGGGACUGCGGCCUAUCAGCUUGUUGGUGAGGUAAUGGCCCACCAAGGCGAUUACAGGUACGGGCUCUGAGAGGAGAAGCCCGGAGAUGGGUACUGAGACACGGACCCAGGCCCUAUGGGGCGCAGCAGGCGAGAAAACUUUGCAAUGUGCGAAAGCACGACAAGGUUAAUCCGAGUGAUUUCUGCUAAAGAAAUCUUUUGCCAGUCAUAAAACCACUGGUGAAUAAGGGGUGGGCAAGUUCUGGUGUCAGCCGCCGCGGUAAAACCAGCACCUCAAGUGGUCAGGAUGAUUAUUGGGCCUAAAGCAUCCGUAGCCUGCUCUGUAAGUUUUCGGUUAAAUCUGUAUGCUCAACAUACAGGCCGCCGGAAAUACUGCAGGGCUAGGGAGUGGGGGAGGUAGACGGUACUCGGGAGGAAGUGGUAAAAUGCUUUGAUCUUUCGAUGACCACCUGUGGCGAAGGCGGUCUACCAGAACACGCCCGACGGUGAGGGAUGAAAGCUGGGGGAGCAAACCGGAUUAGAUACCCGGGUAGUCCCAGCCGUAAACUAUGCAAACUCAGUGAUGCAUUGGCUUGUGGCCAAUGCAGUGUUGCAGGGAAGCCGUUAAGUUUGCCGCCUGGGAAGUACGUACGCAAGUAUGAA